UGCGUAGGCGGCUUGAUAAGUCAGAGGUGAAAGUUUGCAGCUUAACUGUAAAAUUGCCUUUGAAACUGUUGAGCUUGAAUAGCGUUGAGGUCAGCGGAAUGUGACAUGUAGCGGUGAAAUGCAUAGAUAUGUCAUAGAACACCAAUUGCGAAGGCAGCUGGCUGGGCGUUUAUUGACGCUGAGGCACGAAAGCGUGGGGAGCGAACAGGAUUAGAUACCCUGGUAGUCC
rnacentral:rRNA from 1 species